AGUCCGUCCCUCUGAACUCCUCUGUGUGGGGAACAUGACAUGAGGAUCCACCAGAGACCAGGACCUGGACCUGAACCCCGCUGUGUGAACAUGGAGCGUAUACGGUCUACGAGUCCUCCUCUAGACUUCAAAGAUGGUCCCUCUGUUGAUGCAAGGUCCCAUCAGCAGAGAGGAAAGUCUCCUGAACCCACAUGUGUGUCCAUGAAGAGUGAUCGGUCUAAUGAGCGAUGGAUUGAUUUCAAAGAUGAACGCCGUUCUUAUGACCCAGAGUAAGUUCUUAACAAAUGAAGAACUGUUCAGAUCCUCAGUUAUGGAUCCCAGAAAUAGUUGUGCAUUGUUUAACGUGUUGUUUCCAUGACGAUCCUUCAUGACAACUCAUUGUCUUCAUCUA